UACGUAGGAGGCAAGCGUUGUCCGGAAUUACUGGGCGUAAAGCGCGUGUAGGUGGUGGGACAAGUCUGCUGUGAAAGCGCCUGGCUUAACCGGGCGAGGUCGGCGGAAACUGUCGCACUCGAGGACGGUAGAGGGAUGCGGAAUUCCAGGUGUAGCGGUGAAAUGCGUAGAUAUCUGGAGGAACACCGGUGGCGAAGGCGGCAUCCUGGACCGGUAUUGACACUGAAAAGCGAAAGCCAGGGGAGCAAACGGG
rnacentral:rRNA from 1 species